CACACUGCAUGCACAGGAUGUGGUUCUUUCCAAAGGAAACUGUCAUUCUCACAGCCCACAGAAGAGGAAAGGAGAAGGGGCUCAUUUAGUCACUGAUGAUUGUGUCAGCGAUGUAAAUGUGACUGUUGUCAGCUGCUUUGAUCUUAGGCAUUCAGCUCCACAAACACCCUGGAACACUAUUUUCAGAGGCAGAACACAGCCACAGCACCAGUGUUCCCACCAUGGCCUGCUAGAGUUUGUGCACAGCUGGACUCCCAGCAGCAUGGUGCUGGGCCUUGGCUUGCACUACAGGCCCAGCAUCCUCCUCCUCAGGGCUUGACAGCCACUGCAUGAUCCAGAACACCCUGAGGGUCAGGAAACCUGGCACUCUGCAGACCUAAGAAGUUGCUUCCAACAGAAUUCAGAAAGGCCAGGUCUACCAAGCAGUCAGACUGCAGGAGGCUUCUGUGUUCCUCAAGAAAUUCUUCCUCCUCCUUUCCUGAGAACUACAAAACUUGCAUCGCUUGCAUAUGUCAGUGAAAAAAUUAAAGCCUGCACUGGGGAUAUGGCACAGCAUCUCUGCAUGUUUCUUUUGGCAGGUGUACUCUACAGUUCAUUAGGGAGAUGCAUACAAGGCAAGCUGGUUCAAGAGGAGUCAGGAAGCCCAACACACCAAACCAAUGAGAAGCCUAUCAGAGGCCUGAUACCAGAAUCACUAGGAGCAUUUUCUUUCCCAAAUGCAAUGCUCCAAAGCAGCUGAUACCAUUUGCUCUUUUCUAGGAGUACUACAUAUAUAAAAAGUUAACAACCUUAUUU